rnacentral:rRNA from 1 species
UACGGAGGAUCCGAGCGUUAUCCGGAUUUAUUGGGUUUAAAGGGUGCGCAGGCGGGAGAUUAAGUCGGCGGUGAAAUUUUGCAGCUCAACUGUAAAAGUGCCUUCGAAACUGGUUUCCUUGAGUGUGGAUGAAGUAGGCGGAAUUUGUGGUGUAGCGGUGAAAUGCGUAGAUAUCACGAGGAACUCCGAUUGCGCAGGCAGCUUACUAAACCAUAACUGACGCUCAGGCACGAAGGCGUGGGGAGUCAAACAGGAUUAGAUACCCGGGUAGGUCCCUGA